UAAAAUAUGCCUAUCGGUGAAAGGUUCUGUUUAUCUUUCUCUUUACUCAGACUCACACAGAAAAUGGAGUUCAGUCCUCACACCAGCAGGACUUUUGUUUCACUCUGAAACCCUCUCCGAAUCCCAGGCAGCAGGAACAGCAACAACAGUUUUCCAAACUUCCCCGUCACAUUCACAGGAAUCUGAGACUAACCGCAGUCUUGGGGCACAACAGUGAGAAAAUGCUUUCCAGCUUCACUACCGUACUCAGCGACCCAGUUGAGAAGGGUUCUCACAAAGCUGCCAGUCUCACUCCGGCCUGGACCUGUGCCAUUGGAAACAGAAGUGCAACUUUAUCACUUGACUUCAAGAAGAGGUUUCCCAGCGGCAUAUGGAGACAAUAUACAAGACAGACCCAGUGGAGGAAGCUCCCCUUUCAUGGUGGGGAGGUGGGGAGUGUGUACCCUCCCCCACUCUCCACCCCCUCCCCCACCCCCUCAGCCCAGACUUGAGUGGGGGAUAGGUGAGGAAGAGUGCUGAGAGGUAAAAGAGGAACCAGGCCAGUAUUUUUCCCUUAUAAAAAACUUUGAGUGAUUUGUGCCUGAAUUCUAGUACAAUUGAUGUAAACUCGAAGCUCAAAGCUCCGUCCGUGCCCAUGAGAAAGAGAUUUAAUCCAAGUAACUACUCCACAAAUCAGCACCAACGAAACCGUUACCAUGACAGUGGUCACUAUUGGAGCAUUCCCCCAAGGGCUUACUUUCCCUUGUCCACAGAAGAACACCAAACUACUUUUUGUUGUGGUUUAAGUAUACCAACAGCCUCUUCAAAAUGAGAGGUGUACUUUCAACUUCUUUUGUCAAUUUUAGUUCUGUAGUUGAGGAAGGAAUAGCAGCCUUGGGCAGGCAUUUUGGAAGCACAAUCCUAAGCUCGCUGGAGAAUCUGGAAACCCCAGCCCCAGAAGCUUAAGUUUAAAGCCUAUUAAAAUAUUUAUUUUUUUAUUCAUAAUAAUUAUUUUCUAAAAGAAAGCUACAAGAACUAAUACACUCUGUGUGAGAAUGCGUCAUACUCCUGGGUAGGCUCCUACAUUUAUAAAACUCAGAAACUUCAACAGAGUGCUUAUUUUCUCUAGAAACUAUGAAGAGAUGGACACAACCUUUCAGAGACUAGGCUAUAACUCAUUGGUAGCUAUAGAUAUGGAUUCAUUCUUGAUUUUAUAGUUGUAAACCUGUAAACAAUUGUAUGAUAAAAAAACAAAAACUUAGAAGUGACGUGAUCACCAAUACUUUUUGUCUUCAAGUAAAAGGAAGUUUGAGAAACACUGGUCAAGAGUAUAAAUAGACAGCACCCAGAUGGCUCAGUGUCUGCCUUCAGCUCAGGUCAUGAUACCAAAGUCCUGGGAUCGAGUCCUGCAUUGGACUCCCUCCUCAUCGGAGAAUUUGCUUCUCCCUCUGCCUCUGCCCCUCUCCCAGCUCAUGCUCUCUUCUCUCUCACUCUCUGAAAUAAAUAAAUUAAUUUAAAAAGUUUCUUUAAAAGGAGUAUAAGUAGAAAAAAUAAAUAAAUAAAUAAAUAAAUAAAAGGAGUAUAAGUAGAGAGAGGAUGUGGGAGAGAGAGAUAUACUACCUUGGCUGAGUUGACCAUUUUUAUGAGCAUCAGAACUGUAAUUCUAAACACUUCAAAAAUUAAUCUAGUUUAUUGUAAAAAAACAAUCGAGGAUGUUUUUAAUGACUUGUCUACAAGGACGUUCAGUAUAACACUAUGUGAAAAUUGUGAAAUGUUUUAAAAGCCCCACAUUAGUGAGCCAUUAAUUUUGAUAUAUACAUGCGAUAUACACAUCAAGAAAUAAUCAAUAGAUGUACUAUAUAUACACCUAUAGAACAUGAAAAAUGUGCUUUAUACAUUGGCACAAGCAAAAACAGGCUAUAAAAUAGUACAUAUCUGGGUUUGGGCCUGGGGUAUUUUCUAUUGUUUUUGAUAAUCUUUGAUGGUCCAUUUUCUCUUUUGAUGUUCUUUAGAUAAUAUACAUUGCAUAAUAACUCCAUAAUGAUCAUGUGUUGCUUUUGUGGUAGGAUAAAAACAAUUAUACUUCAAUUGAUUUUUUUAUUCUAUUUUUGGGGUGCCUGGGCAGUUCAGUCAGUUAAGUGUCUGCUUUCAGCUCAGGUCCUGAUCCCGGGGUCCUAGGUUGGAGCUUCUGCUCAGCAGGGAGUCUACUUCUCCCUCUGCCCCGCCCCCCUGCUCAUAUUCAUGUGCCCUCUGUAUCACGUAAAUAAAUAAAAUAUUUUUUAAAAAAUAAA